AGUACCACAUCUAUUUGCAUUUUGCUUUGUUUUCAAAGUGAGAUCGAGAGACUUUCUGGCGAGAUAUCCGACUACUUAAACGGCACCAAUUUCUGGGUAAAUAUGUCAGUACUUAAAAAAAAAAUCUGUGAGCGUUUUAAUGGGACUAAAUGUCCUCUAAAACAUACAGUUCUGCUGCAUGCUGCUGUGACACGACAGAUAGUCAGAGGAAGGGAAGGAAGCCCUAGAGACAUUAAUUGUAAUCAUGCUUGGAGCUUGUGCCAUUUGUUUGUAGGGACUAGGCAAGCGUCAGAAACGGUUAAAAACCACCCUGUAUCCCAAAAUGGAGCACAGGGAAAGCAGUUACAACCCGGCGCCCGAUCUCCUCCACCUGCACGAGAGAAACCCUUGCUAGGGAUGCACGUGAGAAGGGCAAGACUUCUGCGUAGACUCCGAAGUGGACUUCUUCAGCCUUGUAAAAAAUACCUCGCUUUUUACAAUUGCUCAUAAAAUGAACUGUCUCUCUUGUUUAGUAUGAAGAGCUGAAGCAUCUCGGCGGCCCAGCAGAUAAGAGAGCACCAAGGAAGCAGACCAAACGCAGGAGGUGAGCAAUGGGGAGUGUUUGCUUUGCCAACGCCUCUUGGAAUAACAACAUGAGGAAAAAAAUGUUGGAAAGCAUUGACACCCCAUGUCAGUAUCGUUUAAUUACCGGCUUUAAUUAAAGCACUGGAACUGAAGAAGCUUGUAGCAGCUUAGAUUAAAUAACCAAUUAAACAUAAAUAGCCCCAACAUGCAAUUUCUGGGGAAAACCACAGAAGAUCAGCGGCAUUCUAAAACCGAUAAUUGUGUUGGAAUUCCUGCCGCACUCAGGCAGAGGGCGCCUGCGGAGCGGAGGAAAGGUAACUGUGCAUCCUCCUGGGGCUAAACGCUUCCACGGCCCUGGGAGAACGCUGACCACACCGAAUCAAACAGACUUUAUGGGUCAUAGCUGUUGCGUUUGGAGGGACGCUGCUGAGAUGCAGCAGUGCCCCCAAAUAUGUGAAGCUGGCUGGGUACACGAUGUGUUCGGUGACUCAGGGCUCAUCCUCAGCAUCCCAGAAGCUGCAGGGGAAUUUCAAACCAGCAGCACGAGCGAGCGACGUCUACGUCUCACUGCUUCGUCUUCUGCGCCACGCAAGGCGUAUCAUUCAAGCUGCUUUGCACCAGUUGUAGUGAAAAAUCAGCGAAAAAAGGGAAGGAGGAAUGGGGUCAGCUGCAAGAUGUAGCUGUAAUGAAGAGAUCGACUUUGCAGCCUGAUGGAAAACGUUUGUACAGUAUUGAUACGUCUGGGACGACUCCGUGCGUAGCUGCGAUACGUGGGUCACCGAAUUCAUGGAAGUCCCACAGCUAAAUCUCGAUAUGUCUUGCCAGAAAAGAAAAAAAGAACCUGGUCUUGAAGGUCAGGGGACCUUGUUGCUCUUCCUGUGGGAAAAUGAUCCUACCACAGGGGCUCAGGCCGUAAGAUCUGCGCCCGGGCUGUUGGAAGCGGCGGGAGGCUGCUGGGGAAGCCUGGCAUGCAGCGCAGCUUCCAGCGGGCAGGCUCAGGAGAAGCGCUGUAGCUUUGGCCCCGGCUGUGCUGGCGUGGGAGGGCUAAAACCAGCCUGGAAAAGAGACAAGGGAGUAUUGUACACCUUUUUUUCCCCACAUCAUUAAUAUUGGCACACAGGAACUUCUCCUUUUUCUUGGAAAACCCGCUGUUUCUCACCCAUUUCAACCACAGGGGAAGAACUGACACAGAUUAUGUUCCUAUUUAGGAAACUUAACGAUGGCAUUAGAGCUUUUUUUUGUGUCUGUAUCACCCAUUUGUACACUUUUGCCAAUCCCCUCUUUUAAGAGCUCUUCCCCCCCCUCUCCUUUCUUCGCACAGUUCCCAUCUCUCCCUCUUCCAUCCCUGGUCCUUCUGCUCCUCACGCCCCAAACCACACAGGUUUUUAAAUUUCUGCCUGUACCGAGGAGCGCUUGGUAAAUCAGACGAGUGUCCUUCCAGAUCCAAAGUACGAGAAUGUUACUUAGUUUUACUGAAAAUGAGGUAAUGCUCCUCUUCAGGAACACCGGCUCUGGUUGAGUAACGCUCAAGCGCUCAGAAGAGCCUUUGGUCCUGCUAAUCGCAGUAAGAACAGCCGUCGGGAUUAGAUGCUAUUCCCAGAGGGACAGAGCUAAAAAGGGGCUGCACGAAACCGAGCCAGCGCACCCUCGCUGUCAGGUUGCUAUUUAUAGAAGAAUGGCUAAAUGAAUAAAUCCUGCCUUUCACUUCCAAUUAAGCAACUCCCCUUUUCUCCAUCGAGUAACCUACACGGUGGUUCUCUUUUAAGCACUUAGAUUACCAGCUGAGCUCACAUUUUAAAUUUCAUUUCGCUGUUCAAAAUGCUUUGGGUCUUCUUCCUACGGAGCGGUUAGAGGCCAGGAGGUUUUGCGUACGCACGGAUCUUUAUACAAAAAAAGAUUUGUGUGGUUUAGACGGUUCAGGAUUUCUCUAGGAAAGAUACUAUUCCAGGCACCUGAUUUUACUUCUCAUAUUCAAACUGACUGACACCUUACUCAAGGAGUUAGUGGGGGUGCUCACGGCAAAAGGUACUGCUUUAUAUGCAGAAUAAUUGCAAACUAAACAAAAAAUUGGUAUUUAAUUGCAUCCUAUUGUUUUCUGGCCUUGUUUAGAUUUUAAAUGAUUUAGUGUCUGGAAAGUACUUAUCAUUUAAUUAUUUGUCCGGUUUCCUUGGAAAUGCUUUUGUAAUGAUGUCAGCGAUGAUUUUUUUCAACUAAAUAAGCCCAGAGCGUUGUCUCCUUCUUAAAUACAUCUUUGUAAUUGUCCUUAAAGGAAUACAAAUGCCUUUUUCUGCCUUUGCCAUCUUUCAGGAGCGACAGAUUUGACUAAAUGAAUUACAAAUCAAAAGUAUAAUGCAAGAAUUAUUUGGUUAUUUUAACAUUAAUAUUCUACUAUCAAAAAAGAU